rnacentral:misc_RNA from 1 species
AGCCUUCUGGCGAUCUCUUAAAAUAAAGCCUAGCCUGCUUUAAAAAAACGGGCGUUUAGAUACUCUUUAAAUUCUUAUGAAUCUUAAAGAGUAUGAAUUAAAAAAAGGCUUUAUGAAGAAAGCACUUUAAGCUUUUCCAACGAUUUAAGAUGAUACCGGGGAAGGUUUUUCCGGUUUAUCCCGGAGGGCUUGUAGCUCAGUUGGUUAGAGCGCGCGCUUGAUAAGCGUGAGGUCGGAGGUUCAAGUCCUCCCAGGCCCACCAAUUUAUGCUCGUUUUUUGCUUAUUCUUGAGCCUUAUGAAGCUUAAGCGUGUCAAAGCCUCUUUAAUCUUUGUUCAUAGUUUAAAGAUUUAAUUUUAUCUUUCAGAAAUUAUUUGUUAAAUUUAUUU